CUAGCCGUAAACGAUGUGCACUAGGUGUCGGCUCCUCUGGGGUCGGUGCCGCAGUUAACACAUUAAGUGCACCACCUGGGGAGUACGGUCGCAAGACUGAAACUCAAAGGAAUUGACGGGGACCCGCACAAGCGGUGGAGCAUGUGGUUUAAUACGACGCUACGCGUGGAACCUUACCUCGGCUUGACAUGUACUUGAAACCUAUCGAAAGAUAGGACCUCUCCUCGAGAGACAGGUACACAGGUGUUGCAUGGCUGUCGUUAGCUCGUGUCGUGAGAUGUUGGGUUAAGUCCCGCAACGAGCGCAACCCUUGUCCCUAGUUGCUACGCAAGGGCACUCUAGGGAGACUGCCGGUGACAAACCG
rnacentral:rRNA from 1 species